rnacentral:rRNA from 1 species
GAUGAACGCUGGCGGCGUGCUUAACACAUGCAAGUCGAACGAUUAAAGCUCUCUUCGGAGAGUGUAUAGAGUGGCGAACGGGUGAGUAACACGUGGGCAAUCUGCCCCUCACACUGGGAUAACUCAGGGAAACUUGAGCUAAUACCGGAUACUCCUUCUUGACCGCAUGAUCGAGUCGGGAAAGCUCCGGCGGUGAGGGAUGAGCCCGCGGUCCAUUAGCUUGUUGGUGGGGUAACGGCCUACCAAGGCUGCGAUGGAUAGCCGACCUGAGAGGGUGAUCGGCCACACUGGGACUGAGACACGGCCCAGACUCCUACGGGAGGCAGCAGUGGGGAAUCUUGCACAAUGGGCGAAAGCCUGAUGCAGCAACGCCGCGUGCGGGAUGAAGGCCUUCGGGUUGUAAACCGCUUUCAGCAGGGAUGAAAACGACAGUACCUGCAGAAGAAGCCCCGGCUAACUACGUGCCAGCCGCCGCCGUAAGAC